UUUACAAAACAAAACAUAAUACAUAAUGAAGCAUUAAAGCUUGACCGUACAAGAAUGAGAUAUAUUGUUUCUUCUUUCUCAAACUCUUACUAAAGCAGGUAUCAAAGAUAUAGUUUGUUACUCUAAAAGCAUUAGCAGCAAGAAGCACAACGUUAGUACUGCUUGCAUCUACUGUGAUUCAAUAUGAAGUCAUAAGUGAAGAUUAUAAAUGCUAUGCCCAGUCAGCCAUGUUCUUGCUUCAUGUUUUUGCCUCGGUAAGGUCCCACAGCCCCAAUCUCCUCGGUCGGUAGGGAAAUCUCAAAUGAUUGGUUCAUUCGGUUCUCUACACUGAAAUGUUUUGGCUAACGGAAAACCAAACAGACAGUUUAUUGGAAAAACCAGCUUCGCGUGUCAGUCUGAUGCACGUAGGAAUAAUCUUUGUCGUUUCGCUCUCAUCAUAUUCACAACUUUAUCAAUCAACGCACCUAACACUCAAUCUUCGCAUUAUUGUACUAUCUUGUGCUACUUCAAGUUUCGAGGGGAUAUAUAAGAAAAUAAGAUUUAGGAUUUGUAACAAUUUUUAUUUAUUUUGAAGUUUAACCAGUUAGUUAAAUUCAAGAAUGAUCAAACCGAAACUAAAGCAAA